rnacentral:rRNA from 1 species
GAUGAACGCUAGCGGCAGGCCUAAUACAUGCAAGCUGAACGGUAAAUGUUGUAGCAAUACGAUAUGAGAGUAGCGUAAGGGUGCGUAACACGUAUGCAAUCUACCCGCAACAGGAGGAUAGCUCCCCGAAAGGGGAAUUAAUAAUCCAUAAUAUCACGAGAGGGCAUCUGAUUGUGAUUAAACUCCAAGGGGUUGCGGAUGAGCAUGCGUCUGAUUAGUUAGUUGGUGAGGUAACGGCUCACCAAGACGAUGAUCAGUAGGGGAACUGAGAGGUUGAUCCCCCACACUGGCACUGAGAUACGGGCCAGACUCCUACGGGAGGCAGCAGUAGGGAAUAUUGGUCAAUGGGUGAGAGCCUGAACCACCCAUGCCGCGUGCAGGAAGAAAGCCUUCUGGGUUGUAAACUGCUUUUGCCAGGGGAUAAAAUACCCAUGCGUGGGGAAUUGAAGGUACCUGGUGAAUAAGCCACGGCUAACUACGUGCCAGCAGCCGCUGUAACAC